AUACUUACCUGUCAGGGGAGACACCAUGACCGUGAAGGUGGUUUUCCCAGGCUGAGGCUCAUCCUCUGCAUUCUGGGUGUGCUGACCCCUGCAGUUUUCCCAAAUGCGGGAAACUUGAUUGCAUAAUUUGUGUUCAUGCUUUCCCUUGAAUUUGAAAAAAAACC
rnacentral:snRNA from 1 species